GGGGAUGUAAUGGUUUCGACAGGGGUGCGUGUGGUAUAGAUAGCGGGUCGGCGUCCCAAAAGGCCGUAAAACUUUGGAAAAACAUUUAAACGCAAAAGAAAACUUUGCAUUAGCUGCAUAAGCUACGCUCUUCAUCCUUGCGCCUGACAGGGGUGAAAGGGCGUCAAACCUCAGGCUGGUCUAAGUUGGCUGUUUCACCGGCUUAGGCGAGAUAAAAGAAACUGGGAUAUUUUAGUUUGUCGUUGUACGAACAAUAUCUGAGACUUUAAACAGCGACUGCACUCGGAGAAGUCUAUAUGGCAACACUUUUGGACAGGAGUUCGAUUCUCCUCAUCUCCACCA
rnacentral:tmRNA from 1 species